AUUGGGUGUAAAGCGCGCGUAGGUGGUUUUGUAAGUUGGAGGUGAAAUCCCCGGGCUCAACCUGGGAACUGCCUCCAAAACUGCAUGACUAGAGUACGGUAGAGGGUAGUGGAAUUUCCUGUGUAGCGGUGAAAUGCGUAGAUAUAGGAAGGAACACCAGUGGCGAAGGCGACUACCUGGACUGAUACUGACACUGAGGUGCGAAAGCGUGGGGAGCAAACAGGAUUAGAUACCCCCGUA
rnacentral:rRNA from 1 species